AAAGAUUAAGCCAUGCAUGUCUAAGCACAAGCCCUGGAAUGGUAAGGCUGCGAAAAGCUCAUUACAACAGCUAUUGUUUAUUGGAUCUUUACAUUCUUACACGGAUAACUGCGGUAAUUCUGGAGCUACUACGUGCAUUAAACGACGACCUUACGGAAGUCGUGCAUUUGUUAGGCCAAACCAAUCGGUCUUCGGACCGUCAUUUGGUGAACUCUGAAUAACUUUGCUGAUCGCACAGUCUCGUACUGGCGACAAAUCCUACAGGUAUCUGCCUUAUCAACUUUCGAUGGUAGUUUAUACGACUACCAUGGUUGUAACGGGUAACGGAGAAUAAGGGUUCGACUCCGGAGAGGGAGCCUGAGAAACGGCUACCACAUCCAAGGAAGGCAGCAGGCGCGCAAAUUACCCACUCGCAACACGCGGAGGUAGUGACGAAAAAUAACGAGGUGGCUCUCUACGAGGUCCGCCAUCGGAAUGGGUACAAUUUAAAUCCUUUAACGAGGAUCUAUUGGAGGGCAAGUCUGGUGCCAGCAGCCGCGGUAAUUCCAGCUCCAAUAGCGUAUAUUAAAGUUGUUGCGGUUAAAAAGCUCGUAGUUGGAUCUGCGUUUGGUGAAAGCGGUCGCCCGACGGGUUGUUACUGCUUCUCCCGAACUAAUCAUUCGGUUUUCCCUUGAUGCUCUUCAUUGAGUGUCCUGGGUGACCGGAACUUUUACUUUGAAAAAAUUAGAGUGCUCAAAGCAGGCGAUUCGCCCGAAUAUUCGUGCAUGGAAUAAUGAAAAAGGUCCUUGUAGCCUUUUAUUGGUUAUUGUUAUGAGGAAAUGAUCGACGGGGACAGACGGGGGCAUUUGUAUUGCGACGUUAGAGGUGAAAUUCUUGGAUCGUCGCAAGACAAACUACUGCGAAAGCAUUUGCCAAGAAUGUUUUCAUCAAUCAAGAACGAAAGUCUGAGGUUCGACAGCGAUCAGAUACCGCUUUAGUUCAGACCGUAAACGAUGCCAUCUGGCGAUCCAUGGGUGUUAUAUAUGACUCCAUGGGCAGCCACCGGGAAACCUUUAAGUUGGGUUCCGGGGGAAGUAUGGUUGCAAAGCUGAAACUUAAAGGAAUUGACGGAAGGGCACCACCAGGAGUGGAGCCUGCGGCUUAAUUUGACU
rnacentral:rRNA from 1 species